rnacentral:rRNA from 1 species
UACGUAGGGGGCUAGCGUUGUCCGGAAUCAUUGGGCGUAAAGCGCGUGUAGGCGGUCCGGUAAGUCCGCUGUGAAAGUCGAGGGCUCAACCCUCGAAUGCCGGUGGAUACUGUCGGACUAGAGUCCGGAAGAGGCAAGUGGAAUUCCCGGUGUAGCGGUGAAAUGCGCAGAUAUCGGGAGGAACACCAAUGGCGAAGGCAGCUUGCUGGGACGGUACUGACGCUGAGGCGCGAAAGCGUGGGGAGCAAACAGG